UUAACUGAAAUGCUGAAAUUAGUUUCAAGCAAUAAUAAAAAAUGUAGCUUACCAGGUGUUGUAACUAAUUCUAAUAAAAUUCAGUUUACUAAAAUGUUGAAAAUCAAUGUACCACAGCCUUCUUGUACCCUGGUAACGUUAACACUUGAUUUUAAAGUGUCUACAUAAGAGUGAGCCUUAUUAGCAUGGCGCACAUCAUGAACUUUAAUGACACUUAUGUUUAUGACUGGUGUCAUUAAGUGUAUUUAUUUGUUUUUUUGUAAUGUAAAGUUGACACUGGGAUGCAGACAUUACAAGAACCAAAUUAUUUAAUAUAUUACAAUCAUGAUAUUAUCUCACAACACCAAUAACGGUUUGUGUAAAGCUUUGUUUUUCACUUUGUUCCCAUUCUUGACAGAUAGCUUUAGUGAGGCAAGGUUGAAACUUCGCCGGGCAGAAGAUGACCCAGACCUCCAGUCAGAAGCAGAGGAGGGGAGGCCAGCAAAAAGAUAAACCAGACCAAACCAGCACUUCCUCUCGAGUCAGGAGGAGUCUGAUGAGGAGUUUGUGAAGCGCAAACCAGUCCUCCCUAAGGUGCCCUCCAUUCCACAUCUGCCGUUACUGUUGCGUGAUGCCAUUUCCUCAUGAGAUGAAAUCUCUCCGCCAGCUAGUCAACCUUGCCUCUCUGCAGCCGUUUCACGCCCUUGGACCUCCUGAGAUCCUACCAUCUUCCCCCCUCAGCCAUCUCGCCACCAUGAAACUCCUGAGCCAUUCCAUCUCGUCCCUAAUGCUGCUUCUGAGAUGGACCUGCACUCUGCAUUACUACGAGAGAUCAUUGCCAAGAAGGAGGUGAUGUGUGAUAUGCAAAGAAAUUUGCUGCGGAUUGUUCAGGAUCUCUCUUCUACACCUACACCACAUGGAUGGAAGUUUCCUGGCGUUGAGGGAUGCUGAGGUUCUAUUGUCGCUGGACUGUGAAAUUAAAACAAAGCCAGAGACGAGAAGGGCUUGGUGCUGACACUGGGCCUUGCUGGGGGCGUGACCCUCAAGGACACUGUGUGGAGGGUCAUGAAGAUGAUGCUUUAGAACGACUUGGCCUGCAAAAUAAAUUGGACAGGCCUCCAUGGCAAAACAUCAUUUCAGGGCCUAUAAGUCAAGAAUGUUGUCACAGCCAUUCAGAGAAAUCCUGGUUGCAGAGAAGCUACGAACCAGGAGGUGGAGCAAUGGUUGGAG